rnacentral:tRNA from 1 species
CGCAGGGUAGAGCAGUUGGCAGCUCGUCGGGCUCAUAACCCGAAGUUCGUAGGUUCAAAUCCUGCCCCCGCAACCA